GAGACAAUAAUAACACGCAGUGAUAUGCGAUGAGUGACAAUAAGCAGUCACAGCCGCGGCCGCGAGUAAGAACAGACGCAUUAACGCCGCGUAAUAUUUCCGUGUUUUCUAGAUUGUUCCGAAUCGCGCGAGAUUAAAGUUACGAUAUUCUAUGCGCGUUAUCGUCGUCCUGGCAUCUUCGUCGUGUUGAGAUUCUCGAUUUGUGAUUGGCUGAUUCAAUCGCGACUACUUGUAUCGUGCUAUCGUUCUACGCGCUAAAUCGACUCGAAAGAAGCAGGGGCUGAUCAUAUUUAUGACACUAUGGUGGUUGUUCGCGUCACGACUCGAGAGUUUUUAGAUAUUCUAAAGUCGUGCGGCAUCUCCUAUAUUCCGUCGCGUUCAGGUCGCGCGACCUUCAGGCGACACAACACGCGGCGCUACGUGAUGAGUGACGAUAAGCGGCCACAGUGGUCGCGACCGCGAGCGUGAACGGACGCAUUAACGCCGCGUAAUAUUUUCGUGUUUUCUAGAUCAUUCCGAAUCGCGCGGGAGUGAAGUCACGAUACUCUGUGCGUGUCAUCAUCGUCGUGGCAUCGUCGUGAACAGUGACAGCAACGCGAAAUAUGUGAAGUGAUUCGUAUUCUAUUCAACAACACGAUCGUACGGGAUCUCCUAUGCUAAGGUCGCGCGACUUGGACGAUAAUACGCGCGGUAUGCGAUGAAUGACGAUGCGCGAUUCACAAUCAUCGCCGCCGCGAGUGUGAACGGACAGAGUGACGCCGUGCGCCAUUUCCGUUCAGGAAUUGCGCGUAAACGAAGUUACGAUACUCUGUGCGUGUCAUCGUCAUGGCAUCAUCGUGAGCAGCGGCAGCAAUACGAAAUGCGUAAGAUUCAACAGUAUUAGUUGCACGGAAGAUGCGGUUUACGAUGGAUGGCAGAGGCUGCACCGGAGGAUCCGGUUCGGGCCAAGCUGGGUCAGCUCGACGAUCUACGUAGUGGCACGAUGGUCCUGCUGCAUCUCGACAUAGUCGAGAUCUGAUACAGAGCUUGGCGAGCAGGUUUGAUACGGUUGAAUGCAGUUCUGGAGGAUGUCGUCUCGGUGGAUGCGGAUGCCGCACCGGAGGAUCCGGUUCGGGCCGAGCAACGUCGACUUGAAGAUUUGUAGCAGAAUACGGCCGGCCUUGAGUUCAUAAUUUGCUUAAUGUAGAGCAGUGGUGGAUGAGAAGUGAUCGACAUGGGACGAGGGCUGGAUGCUGAGGAGGCUGGACAUUGGACGGAUGCGGUGGGCCUCGUCGACCUGGACGUCGCUGGAUAUCAAUGAAAUGGUGAAAUGAAACAAGUGUACGGCGCGAGAGAGCACUACAACAAUUGUGGCAAGAAGUGUAAAUACAUCUUGUACCAUUGCCAACGGUCGUCGCUCAUCAAAGAACACCGGUCGACUGAACCAACAGCGAAUCAACAGUCGCAACAUCCGGAACCUUCAAAGAGGUCAAAUGUGUCUCGUAAACUUUUCUGGAUCAUUCAGUCCCGGGCUGGCGAGCGACACGCACACCACUGACUACGUAUGUCAACGCAUUAUCUGUUGUCGCCCCGCACAAUCAAAACAUUCGCAAGGCGGUUCAAAUUUGUCUUCGCACCUCGCGAACCUUUCCGGAUUAUUCAGUCCCGGGCCGGUGAGCGACAUUAGGGACCACGUUAUUUAUUGUUCGUCGUGGAUAAUUGAACUAUUUCCCUUGAGAGUACUUAAUUAAUCUCUCGUCGGCAUCGCAUUAUUUAACUCGUGUGUCUUCGAUUGAGUCGUGUCUACGCGAGUGUCAGUGUCAGUGCAGCACGACGGAGCAGCCAGCUGGGUCGAGAAACUAGAACGAAAGUCGCAGGACGCAGGACAACAGGACGUGGGCAGCGAUACAUCAACGAUACAUAUUUUCAAGACUGGGCAGAGACAGCAUCACCAGGAAGCGAGCCGCGGUGCUACGGAUUUCCAUUUUCCGUGGAGUUCCAAGCCGCGAAAUUCGGACGCGCAAUAUCCGUUCCGUCGCAUCCGGUGCCAUCAAAAUCUCUUUAAACAGCACAAGGUGGCUGCCGCCGCAAAGUGGCAAAGCGGCUCAAAGCAACGAGCGACAAGAGGCACAUUCGCACACCUGCUCUUGGCCGUCUAUCAGCAUACGUUCGCACUCGCGCCGAGCUCCGCUCCGAGCGAGUGUAAAAAAGAUCGGGAGAGCUACGUGAUCGGCACGUACAAAGGUGCAUAGGGGGAUAAUAAAUCUUUCCUCCCGCCUUGUCCCCUCCUUGAAAAGGAGCUACAAGAAGGGACUGAGUCGCAUUCAACGAACGAAUGGCGCUGGAAAAUGGAGAGGAGCAACGGCGCUCGCUAUUACAACGGGGCGUAAAAUUCAUUAGAACGGAUUCGAGGGAGAACGAGCACACCAACGAGGAAACGUGUAGUAGUGUCCCUAGCCAACCUGGAUGGGGUUAGGAUGUAUGGCAGAGCGGCUAAAAGUAGGAGACACGUAUAUUUUUUUUAAUGAACUUUCUCAUAUGUGCAAGUGUUGAAGCAACCUCUCAAAUUAAGGUAAAAUUGAACGUGUGCGCUACACAGCGUUGCAAUAAGCGCAAUAAAAUAAUAGUCGAGUCAUACGAGAGCGUAAUUUUUAUAUCAUUUGCAAAUAGAAUAUAUAUGUAACACAAUAAUUAUAUGUAAUAUAACAGUUUACUGUAAAAAAUUGCAUUACACAAUACUAAAUAUCUCUUCUUAUACUCUCUGUAUUAUAUUCUAUAUAUAUUUUAUUACAUAUGCGCGUGCGAGGGUGAAAAUUUGUCUCCUGUAUUAAAUACAUUAAAUAUUUUAUACUGUUCAAAAAUAUAUAAAGUAAUAAUAAAAACAGGUUAAAAAAUUGA